rnacentral:rRNA from 1 species
CGGACGGGUGAGUAAUGCAUAGGAAUCUGCCCAGUAGCGGGGGACAACUUGGGGAAACUCAAGCUAAUACCGCAUACGCCCUACGGGGGAAAGCGGGGGACCUUCGGGCCUCGCACUAUUGGAUGAGCCUAUGUCAGAUUAGCUUGUUGGUGGGGUAAUGGCCUACCAAGGCGACGAUCUGUAGCUGGUCUGAGAGGACGAUCAGCCACACUGGGACUGAGACACGGCCCAG